GUCGGUUAGUACUACUAGCUAAUUCUUCUUUUAUUCCUUUGUUAUUAUUUGAGUUUCAUUGAACGCCAAUGGGAGGACAUUCGGGUGCCUAUGGUACUUAUAGAAGGGUGGCUGCAAAUCUCUACUGGAAGGGGAUGAUGAAAAGGGCCAAACAAUUUGCAGCAGAGUGUUUAAUCUGUCAGAAGAAUAAAUAUUUGACCGCAAGUCCAGCAGAUUUGCUUCAACCUCUUCCUAUUCCUACCAAAGUUUGGGCGGAUAUAUCAAAGGAUUUUAUCACGGGUUUACCCAAGUCAUAUGGAAUUGAUUGUGUUCUGGUUGUUACCGAUAGGCUUUCAAAAUAUGGGCAUUUUCUUGGCCUCAAACAUCCUUUCACUGCAAAAAUGGUAGUAGAAUUGUUCCUCAAAGUGGUAGUCCGCUUACACUGCAUGUCAGAUUCCAUUGUAAGUGACUGUGAUUCACUUUUUUUUAGUCAUUUCUGGCAAGAAAUCUUUCGGUUGCAAGGAACGAUUUUGCGAAUGAGUAUUGCCUAUUAUCCAAAAACAAAUGGGCAAAUAGAGGUUUUGAAUCGGUG
rnacentral:misc_RNA from 1 species